AAUUUUGGACAAUGGGGGCAACCCUGAUCUAGCCAUCCCGCGUGUGCGAUGAAGGCCUUCGGGUUGUAAAGCACUUUAAGUUGGGAGGAAGGGUUGUUGGCUAAUAGCCAGCAAUUUUGACGUUACCGACAGAAUAAGUACCGGCUAACUCCGUCCCAGCAGCCGCGGUAAUACAGGGGUUGCAAGCGUUAACCGGAAUUACUGGGCGUAAAGCGCGCGUAGGUGGUUCAGUAAGAUGGGUGUGAAAUCCCCGGGCUUAACCUGGGAACUGCUUUCAUAACUGCUGAGCUAGAGUACGGUAGAGGGUAGUGGAAUUUCCUGUGUAGCGGUGAAAUGCGUAGAUAUAGGAAGGAACACCAGUGGCGAAGGCGACUACCUGGACUGAUACUGACACUGAGGUGCGAAAGCGUGGGGAGCAAACA
rnacentral:rRNA from 1 species